rnacentral:rRNA from 1 species
GGCCCUCGGUUACACUCAUCACCCUGUGACAUACCUAAAACGUUGCUUCGGCGGGAACAGACGGCCCCGUGAAACGGGCCGCCCCCGCCAGAGGACCCCCUAACUCUGUUGCUAUGUGUUUUUUCUGAGUAAACAAGCAAAUAAAUUAAAACUUUCAACAACGGAUCUCUUGGCUCUGGCAUCGAUGAAGAACGCAGCGAAAUGCGAUAAGUAAUGUGAAUUGCAGAAUUCAGUGAAUCAUCGAAUCUUUGAACGCACAUUGCGCCCGCCAGUAUUCUGGCGGGCAUGCCUGUUCGAGCGUCAUUACAACCCUCAGGCCCCCGGGCCUGGCGUUGGGGAUCGGCGAGGCGCCCCCUGCGGGCACGCGCCGUCCCCCAAAUACAGUGGCGGUCCCGCCGCAGCUUCCAUUGCGUAGUAGCUAACACCUCGCAACUGGAGAGCGGCGCGGCCAUGCCGUAAAACACCCAACUUCUGAAUGUUGACCUCGAAUCAGGUAGGAAUACCCGCUGAACUUAAGCAUAUCAAUAGCCGGGAGGAA